rnacentral:rRNA from 1 species
AUUGAAUGCUGGCGGCAGGCCUAACACAUGCAAGUCGAGCGGAUGAGGGGAGCUUGCUCCUGGAUUCAGCGGCGGACGGGUGAGUAAUGCCUAGGAAUCUGCCUGGUAGUGGGGGAUAACGUCCGGAAACGGGCGCUAAUACCGCAUACGUCCUGAGGGAGAAAGUGGGGGAUCUUCGGACCUCACGCUAUCAGAUGAGCCUAGGUCGGAUUAGCUAGUUGGUGGGGUAAAGGCCUACCAAGGCGACGAUCCGUAACUGGUCUGAGAGGAUGAUCAGUCACACUGGAACUGAGACACGGUCCAGACUCCUACGGGAGGCAGCAGUGGGGAAUAUUGGACAAUGGGCGAAAGCCUGAUCCAGCCAUGCCGCGUGUGUGAAGAAGGUCUUCGGAUUGUAAAGCACUUUAAGUUGGGAGGAAGGGCAGUAAGUUAAUACCUUGCUGUUUUGACGUUACCAACAGAAUAAGCACCGGCUAACUUCGUG